CUACCUUACCUUAGUAAUGACAAGACCACCACCAUCACAUCCUCUCUUCUUCCUCUUCCUCCUCCUCUUCCUCCUCCUCUCUCCUCCUCUUUCUCUCCCUCUCGCUCUCUCUCCCAGCAACGUGAGAAUAAGAGGUUACGCCACACACUGCUACCUUCCUAACGGCACGGCCCUAACCCCGGGGGAGGAGUGGAAUGCAUCUAACUGCAGGCGUGGCAUUUGUCUACAAGUUAUUUAUUACGUCUACGUUAUAUACAGAAGGUUAGUAGUAGUAGUAGUAGUAGUAGUAGUAGUAGUAGUAGUAGUAGUAGUAGUAACCUUGAAAACCCCAUUAACUUCCACUACAGCCUGUUAAACUAUCCCUGGAACCUUGAAAACCCCAAUAACUUCCACUACAGCCUGUUAAACUAUCCCUGGAACCUUGAAAACCCCAAUAACUUCCACUACAGCCUGUUAAACUAUCCCUGGAACCUUGAAAACCCCAAUAACUUCCACUACAGCCUGUUAAACUAUCCCUGGAACCUUGAAAACCCCAAUAACUUCCACUACAACCUGUUAAACUAUCCCUGGAACCUUGAAAACCAGAAUAACUUCCACUACAGCCUGUUAAACUAUUAGAACCUUGAAAAACCCAUUAACUUCCACUACAGCCUCUUGAACUAUCCCAGGAACUUUGAAAGAAUAAAAAACUAUUAUUAUUAUUUGAGAAUUUUGAUGUUUUAGAAGCAUUUAAGGCAAAACAGUAACUUAGGUUAAUUAAUGUGGCUGAUUCUGACAUCCUUAAGUGAAUCAGCAUCAGUAUACACUCCACGAGGGUGUCAAGGAAGCUCACAGGCACUUUUCACAGGAACGAGCCUUGACGCCGUUAAGUGAAUAAAUAUUUUGACGUA